AUUAACUUCGAAUCAAGCUUAAAAACUAAUAAGACAAAUAUUAUCAAGAAUAUCAACGCUUCGAAUUUAUUUAUUUUUUAAAGAAUUAGCCUAACUGGAAGGAAAUACAUUAAUAAUGAUGCAACUUGCAGCAGCAAUUUAAGUCUAUAAGAAGUAUAGAACCAUGGCAUCAAUUUACGGAUUCAAUUCAUGCUAUCGCAAUUAAUGCCGUUAUUUGAAAAAAAAAA